GGUUGACCCUGCCAGUAGCAUAUGCUUGUCUCUGAGACUAAGCCAUGCAUGUCUAAGUAUAAAUUAAUUUUUACGGUGAAACUGCGGACGGCUCAUUAAAUCAGUUAUAACCUACUUGAUCGUGUGACUUUAUUCGGAUAACCCUAGUAAUUCUAGAGCUAAUACGUGCUAAAAGCCUUAACUUCCAGCAAUGGGGGAAGAGGUGUAUUUAUUAGAAACUAAAACCAAUCAGCUUCGGCUGUUUGAGAUGAUUCAUAAUAACUCGGCAAAUUACGGGAAAAUUCCUGUGAUGAUUCAAACGGAUUUCUGACCUAUCAACUUUAGAUGGCAAAGUAGGGGUUUGCCAUGGUGACAACGGGUGACGGGGAAUUAGGGUUCGAUUCCGGAGAGGGAGCCUGAGAAACGGCUACCACUUCCAAGGAAGGCAGCAGGCGCGCAAAUUACCCAAUGCUAAUUCGGCGAGGUAGUGACAAGAAAUACCAAUGUAGGACCCAACGGGUACUACGUUUGGAAUGAGAACAAUUUAAAAACCUUAACGAGGAACAAUUGGAGGGCAAGUCUGGUGCCAGCAGCCGCGGUAAUUCCAGCUCCAAUAGUGUAUAUUAAAGUUGCUGCGGUUAAAAAGCUCGUAGUUGGAUUACGAAGUGGUGUUUAAAUGUCAUUUUGGUUUGUUUGUCUUUCGGGGCAUUCAGGUCAACUUGGCUUUUACUCACUGUUGUCAUUGUCUUUGCCCAAGGUAUAUGCCUUGUGUGCAUGGCAUUGACCUUCUAUUUUAUGGUAAUGUUGUAUCUUUCGGGGUACAUUCAUUCCAUAUAGUUUACUUUGAAAAAAUUAGGGUGUUUAAAGCAGGCGAAAAGGCUUCGGAAUAUAUUAGCAUGGGAUAAUAGAAUACGAUCUAGGUCGUAAUUUGUUGGUUUCUACGGCUUAGGUAAUGAUUGACAGGGAUAGUUGGGGUCGCUCGUAUUGAGUUGUCAGAGGUGAAAUUCUAGGAUUAACUCAAGACGAACUAAUGCGAAAGCAUUCGGCAAGGAUGUUUUCAUUAAUCAAGAACGAAAGUUGGGGGAUCGAAGAUGAUCAGAUACCGUCGUAGUCUCAACUGUAAACUAUGUCGACCGAGGAUCCGGUAGCGUUACGGAUGACCUUCCGGGCACUCUGUGAGAAAUCAUAAGUAUUUGGAUUUCGGGGGGAGUAUGGUCGCAAGGCUGAAACUUAAAGGGAUUGACGGAAGGGCACCACCAGGAGUGGAAUCUGCGGCUUAAUUUGACCCAACACGGGAAAACUUACCAGGUCCGGACACAGUGAGGAUUGACAGAUUGAGAGCUCUUUCUUGAUUUUGUGGGUGGUGGUGCAUGGCCGUUUUUAGUUGGUGGAGUGAUUUGUCUGGUUAAUUCCGUUGACGAACGAGACCUUAACCUGCUAAAUAGCUAGGCUUAACUUUGUUAGGUCGUCAGCUUCUUAGAGGGACUAUCGGUGUUUAACCGAUGGAAGUUUGAGGCAAUAACAGGUCUGUGAUGCCCUUAGAUGUUCUGGGCCGCACGCGCGCUACACUGAUGAAGUCAACGAGUUCAUUUCCUUUAUCGGAAGAUAUGGGUAAUCUUUUGAAACUUCAUCGUGCUGGGGAUAGAGCAUUGCAAUUAUUGCUCUUCAACGAGGAAUCCCUAGUAAGCACAAGUCAUCAGCUUGUGCUGAUUACGUCCCUGCCCUUUGUACACACCGCCCGUCGCUACUACCGAUUGAAUGGCUUAGUGAGACCCUCGGAUUGACGUUCAUCGGCUGUAAAAGGCUCUUGCCUGUUGAAAAGUUGGUCAAACUUGGUCAUUUAGAGGAAGUAAGAGUCGUAACAAGGUU
rnacentral:rRNA from 1 species